rnacentral:rRNA from 1 species
AUGAACGCUGGCGGCGUGCCUAAUACAUGCAAGUCGAGCGAACGGACGAGAAGCUUGCUUUUCUGAUGUUAGCGGCGGACGGGUGAGUAACACGUGGAUAACCUACCUAUAAGACUGGGAUAACUUCGGGAAACCGGAGCUAAUACCGGAUAAUAUUUUGAACCGCAUGGUUCAAAAGUGAAAGACGGUCUUGCUGUCACUUAUAGAUGGAUCCGCGCUGCAUUAGCUAGUUGGUAAGGUAACGGCUUACCAAGGCAACGAUGCAUAGCCGACCUGAGAGGGUGAUCGGCCACACUGGAACUGAGACACGGUCCAGACUCCUACGGGAGGCAGCAGUGGGGAAUCUUCCGCAAUGGGCGAAAGCCUGACGGAGCAACGCCGCGUGAGUGAUGAAGGUCUUCGGAUCGUAAAACUCUGUUAUUAGGGAAGAACAUAUGUGUAAGUAACUGUGCACAUCUUGACGGUACCUAAUCAGAAAGCCACGGCUAACUACGUG